rnacentral:rRNA from 1 species
AGAGAUGUGUGAUGACGCAUAUCAAUAAGCGGAGGAAAAGAAACUAACAAGGAUUCCCUUAGUAACGGCGAGUGAAGCGGGAAGAGCUCAAAUUUGAAAUCUUCAAGGUUCUACCUUGACGAAUUGUAGUUUAAUAGAAGUGUUUUCUGUUAGUAGGAGUGGCAAAAGUUCUUUGGAAUAGGACAUCAUAGAGGGUGAGAAUCCCGUAUUUGGUCAUUCUUUCUAGCUUUGUGAUACACUUUCAACGAGUCGGAUUGUUUGGGAAUGCAGUCCAAAAUGGGUGGUAAAUUUCAUCUAAAGCUAAAUAUUGGCGAGAGACCGAUAGCGAACAAGUACCGUGAGGGAAAGAUGAAAAGAACUUUGAAAAGAGAGUUAAACAGUACGUGAAAUUGUCAAAAGGGAAGCGUUUGACACCAGUGUUGUUUUUUCCGAAAAUCAAUUACGAAUGUUUUAUUUUUGAGAAGUUAUGACUUCAUCGGCUUGCUUCUCUCUUUAUGAAACUUUCUUAAUGCACUUUUCGGUUAACAAGUCAACAUCAAUUUCUUUUGUUGUAAAAGGGUAUGAGGAAGGUGGCUUUCUUUUCGGAGAAAGUGUUUAUAGCCUUGUACCUCUGCAAUCGGAGAGAUUGAGGUCUGCAGCGUAGAUCCUUCGGGGUUAGAUACAUUUGUGCUAAGUUAUAGCUUUUCAUAGACAACUUGUUGACUAUGAUUUAGUCUUGUAGCUUACUCGCUUAUGCUAUUUUACCUACGCUUAGGAUGUUGACAGCAGUAUAGACUGU